UGGGGGAAUAUUGCACAAUGGGCGAAAGCCUGAUGCAGCAACGCCGCGUGAGUGAUGAAGGUCUUCGGAUUGUAAAGCUCUGUCUUUUGGGACGAUAAUGACGGUACCAAAGGAGGAAGCCACGGCUAACUACGUGCCAGCAGCCGCGGUAAUACGUAGGUGGCGAGCGUUGUCCGGAUUUACUGGGCGUAAAGGGUGCGUAGGCGGAUGUUUAAGUGAGAUGUGAAAUACCCGGGCUUAACUUGGGUGCUGCAUUUCAAACUGGAUAUCUAGAGUGCAGGAGAGGAGAAUGGAAUUCCUAGUGUAGCGGUGAAAUGCGUAGAGAUUAGGAAGAACACCAGUGGCGAAGGCGAUUCUCUGGACUGUAACUGACGCUGAGGCACGAAAGCGUGGGUAGCAAACAGGAUUAGAUACCCUGGUAGUCCACGCCGUAAACGAUGAGUACUAGGUGUAGGAGGUAUCGACCCCUUCUGUGCCGCAGUAAACACAUUAAGUACUCCGCCUGGGAAGUACGAUCGCAAGAUUAAAACUCUAAAGUGAGUUGAC
rnacentral:rRNA from 1 species